UUAAGCCUGUGACGAAACAAGUUAUCCCUGUCUGAACAGCAGUGUGGACUUAUGGUAAUCUGAGGCUUGA
ensembl:snoRNA small nucleolar RNA R38